rnacentral:miRNA from 1 species
UGUGUGUGUGUGUGCAUGUGUGUCUGAUUUUCUACAUAUAUACAUACACACAUGCACAUAUA